rnacentral:rRNA from 1 species
UACGUAGGGUGCAAGCGUUAAUCGGAAUUACUGGGCGUAAAGCGUGCGCAGGCGGUUUUGUAAGACCGAUGUGAAAUCCCCGGGCUUAACCUGGGAACUGCGUUUGAAACUACAAGGCUAGAGUGUGGCAGAGGGGGGUGGAAUUCCACGUGUAGCAGUGAAAUGCGUAGAGAUGUGGAGGAACACCGAUGGCGAAGGCAGCCCCCUGGGUUAACACUGACGCUCAGGCACGAAAGCGUGGGGAGCAAACAGG